rnacentral:SRP_RNA from 13 species
AAUGCCACGGCACGGGCCAGGAGACCGUCGUGAACCAUGUCGGACCCGGAAUGGUGCAGCAGUUUAUCACCACCUGUCGCACCUGUCACGGCCAGGGCCAGAGCCUGC